rnacentral:lncRNA from 1 species
GAACCAGUAGCAUCCCAGUCUCAGCAGUCAGAGUAGCAGUGAGUCCUCAUCUUUUGAGGACAUUAUCAUUAUUUUAUCAUCUCAUUAAUUAAUUUAUUAGUUAGAGUUAGUUGGGGACAUGUCCCAUCAACUCCUUAUUCAGACAGUUCAGUCAGUUAGAGGCUUUGCAGACUAGUGAGUUCAGACAGUUAUUUCAGUGUUUUGGAUAUUUCAUACCCCAUCCAUAUGUUAUG